CGGCGGACGGGUGAGUAAUGUAUGGGGAUCUGCCUGAUGGCGGGGGAUAACUACUGGAAACGGUAGCUAAUACCGCAUAAUGUCUACGGACCAAAGCGGGGGACCUCCGGGCCUCGCGCCAUCAGAUGAACCCAUAUGGGAUUAGCUAGUAGGUAAGGUAACGGCUUACCUAGGCGACGAUCCCUAGCUGGUCUGAGGGGAUGAUCAGCCACACUGGGACUGGGACACGGCCCAG
rnacentral:rRNA from 1 species